AUUGAACGCUGGCGGCAUGCCUUACACAUGCAAGUCGAACGGUAACGCGGGGCAACCUGGCGACGAGUGGCGAACGGGUGAGUAAUGCAUCGGAACGUGCCCAGUAGUGGGGGAUAGCCCGGCGAAAGCCGGAUUAAUACCGCAUACGACCUACGGGUGAAAGCGGGGGAUCGCAAGACCUCGCGCUAUUGGAGCGGCCGAUGUCAGAUUAGGUAGUUGGUGAGGUAAAGGCUCACCAAGCCUUUGAUCUGUAGCUGGUCUGAGAGGACGACCAGCCACACUGGGACUGAGACACGGCCCAGACUCCUACGGGAGGCAGCAGUGGGGAAUUUUGGACAAUGGGCGCAAGCCUGAUCCAGCCAUGCCGCGUGCGGGAAGAAGGCCUUCGGUUGUAACGACUUUGUCAGGGAAGAAACGACGUACUGGGUUAAUACCUCGGAGUAAUGACGGUACCUGAAGAAUAAGCACCGGCUAACUACGUGCCAGCAGCCGCGGUAAU
rnacentral:rRNA from 1 species